UAAAACAGGGCUGCAGAGGGCAGAGAGACACCACACUACUACUGACGUCCAGAAGACAUCAUCCAGAUAAACAGCCAUCAAUCAGACAGCAUCGUCCAACUGAAAGAGUAAAGGAUGAAGAUCCAGAGUAUGUUACUGCUGUUCGCUCUAGUGGGUGUCCUGUUAGCAAGCUCCCUCAAUGAAAAUAACUCUGAGGAAGCUCUCCUGCAGGAGGAUGAUGUAAAAGAUGGAAAGGCUGCCUUUUUGGCAAAGUUGGCUACUCUGAAGACCAGCCCCUCAGAAGAUGAAG